UUGAACGCUGGCGGCAGGCCUAACACAUGCAAGUCGAGCGGAUGAAGGGAGCUUGCUCCUGGAUUCAGCGGCGGACGGGUGAGUAAUGCCUAGGAAUCUGCCUGGUAGUGGGGGAUAACGUCCGGAAACGGGCGCUAAUACCGCAUACGUCCUGAGGGAGAAAGUGGGGGAUCUUCGGACCUCACGCUAUCAGAUGAGCCUAGGUCGGAUUAGCUAGUUGGUGAGGUAAAGGCCUACCAAGGCGACGAUCCGUAACUGGUCUGAGAGGAUGAUCAGUCACACUGGAACUGAGACACGGUCCAGACUCCUACGGGAGGCAGCAGUGGGGAAUAUUGGACAAUGGGCGAAAGCCUGAUCCAGCCAUGCCGCGUGUGUGAAGAAGGUCUUCGGAUUGUAAAGCACUUUAAGUUGGGAGGAAGGGCAGUAAGUUAAUACCUUGCUGUUUUGACGUUACCAACAGAAUAAGCACCGGCUAACUUCGUG
rnacentral:rRNA from 1 species